rnacentral:rRNA from 1 species
UACAGAGGUCUCAAGCGUUGUUCGGAUUCAUUGGGCGUAAAGGGUGCGUAGGCGGCGCGGUAAGUUGGGUGUGAAAUCUCGGAGCUUAACUCCGAAACUGCAUUCGAUACUGCCGUGCUUGAGGACUGGAGAGGAGACUGGAAUUUACGGUGUAGCGGUGAAAUGCGUAGAUAUCGUAAGGAAGACCAGUGGCGAAGGCGGGUCUCUGGACAGUUCCUGACGCUGAGGCACGAAGGCCAGGGGAGCAAACGGG